rnacentral:rRNA from 1 species
AAGGCCCUAGGGUUGUUAAAGCUCGUUUUGUGCGGGAAGAGUAAUGACGGUAACCGCAAGAAUAAGCCCGGCUAACUUCGUGC